AAAACAAUUUUGUUAAAAUCUUUUACUGCUUAACUACAGUCAAAUUAUGUGCAUUAUGUUCAGAACGGUACGAUAUUUCCGGUAUAAAUUCCAGUACAGUUCAAGUCAAACCAUACCUUUUAAACUUAUAAUUUUAUUCUAAAACAAUUUUGUUAAAAUCUUUUACAGCUUAGCUACAGUCAAAUUAUGUGCAUUAUGUUCAGGACGGUACGACAUUUCCGGUAUAAAUUCCGGUACAGUUCAAGUCAAACCAUACCUUUUAAACUUAUAAUUUUAUUCUAAAACAAUUUUGUUAAAAUCUUUUACUGCUUAGCUACAGUCAAAUUAUGUGCAUUAUGUUCAGAACGGUACGAUAUUUCCGGUAUAAAUUCCGGUACAGUUUAAGUCAAACCAUACCUUUUAAACUUAUAAUUUUAUUCUAAAACAAUUUUGUUAAAAUCUUUUACAGCUUAGCUACAGUCAAAUUAUGUGCAUUAUGUUCAGGACGGUACGACAUUUCCGGUAUAAAUUCCGGUACAGUUCAAGUCAAACCAUACCUUUUAAACUUAUAAUUUUAUUCUAAAACAAUUUUGUUAAAAUCUUUUACAGCUUAGCUACAAUCAAAUUAUAUGCAUUAUGUUCAGGACGGUACGACAUUUCCGGUAUAAAUUCCGGUACAGUUCAAGUCAAACCAUACCUUUUAAACUUAUAAUUUUAUUCUAAAACAAUUUUGUUAAAAUCUUUUACUGCUUAGCUACAGUCAAAUUAUGUGCAUUAUGUUCAGAACGGUACGAUAUUUCCGGUAUAAAUUCCGGUACAGUUCAAGUCAAACCAUACCUUUUAAACUUAUAAUUUUAUUCUAAAACAAUUUUGUUAAAAUCUUUUACAGCUUAGCUACAGUCAAAUUAUGUGCAUUAUGUUCAGGACGGUACGACAUUUCCGGUAUAAAUUCCGGUACAGUUCAAGUCAAACAAUACCUUUUAAACUUAUAAUUUUAUUCUAAAACAAUUUUGUUAAAAUCUUUUACUGCUUAGCUACAAUCAAAUUAUGUGCAUUAUGUUCAGGACGGCCCUUAAAUAUGUUGGGCCACAAGCUAACAUUUUUAAUGGGCUUAUAAGCUACUUCAAAAAAAAAAAAAAAAAAAAUAGAAGAGGGAAAAAAUUGGGAAAAAAUAAAUCUUCUCAAUUACUCUUUGUCAUUUUUCCAAUCAAGAAUAAUUUGUUCACCAACAAUAUUCUUCUCAAU
rnacentral:sRNA from 1 species